UCCUUAGUAACGGCGAGUGAAAUGGGGAUAGCCCAGCGCUGAAUCCCAUGUUCACUGAACAUCGGGAACUGUAGCGUAUAGGUGUAACUAUUUGGUAGUUUUAUUUACACUUACCCAAAGUUCCCUUGAGUGGGACUAUAAUCCAUAGAGGGUGAUAGGCCCGUACGGGUAGUGAAAUUAUCAAUACUGGUUACACCUUGGAGUCGAGUUGCCUGGGAACGCAGCUCAAAGUUGGUGGUAAACCUCAUCUAAGGCUAAAUAUGACUACGAGACCGAUAGCGAACAAGUACCGUGAGGGAAAGUUGCAAAGAACUUUGAAGAGAGAGUUCAAGAGGACGUGAAACCGCUAAGGUGGAAGCGGAUAGAGUCAACGAAACGCAGUGGUAUUCAUCCAAUUAGUGCUAUUGAUGCUUGUAUAAUUGUACCGUCGUUUUUUACGGUGGCAGUUAUACGAGGUUUAUAAUAAUUGAUAGCUGCUUGAUUGGUGUUUUUACCAUUGGUAUGCGCUAAGAGGUUCGUUAUGGUGUGCCAAAACUAAUUAGUAGAGGACUAUGUUCAAUUGAAUGUAGAACCCUAUAAUUUUGGUCAAGGCAUAUUCAUGGUGAAUCGCUGUUCCUGCACACAUAAUAAGCAGUGACAUCAUUGACCAGUCAUCUGGUGCAACUAAUUAUUAUGUAGCUGAAAAAAUUGUUGGACGGUCGCAUGCGACUUGUCUACAGUUGUUUAUUGGCUCAUUUGGAUAAUUAUUGUUGCAAUAAUGUUGUGUAAUGUAUCUUGGCGUAAAAGUUGGUCACCUAUCCGACCCGUCUUGAAACACGGACCAAGGAGUUUAGCAUAUGCGCAAGUCAUUGGGUGGUAAACCUAAAGGCGUAAUGAAAGUAAAGAUUAUACUUGAUAUAAUUGAUAUGGGAUCUAUAUGGGCGUAAAAAACUCAUAUAGCGCACCAUAGUCCCGUCCUUGUUGCUUGCAAUAGGGCGGAGAUAGAGCGUAUAUGCUGAGACCCGAAAGAUGGUGAACUAUGCCUGAGCAGGAUGAAGCCAGAGGAAACUCUGGUGGAAGUCCGAAGCGGUUCUGACGUGCAAAUCGAUCGUCUGACUUGGGUAUAGGGGCGAAAGACUAAUCGAACUAUCUAGUAGCUGGUUCCCUCUGAAGUUUCCCCUAGGAUAGCUGGAGCAGGGAAACAAACAGUUAUAUUCGGUAAAGCGAAUGAUUAGAGGAAUUAGGGGCGAAACGACCUUAACCUAUUCUCAAACUUUUAAUGGGUAUGACGUCUCGCUUGCUUAGCUGAAGCGUAGACAUAGAAUGUUAGAGCUCCAAGUGGGCCAUUUUUGGUAAGCAGAACUGGCGCUGUGGGAUGAACCAAACGUUAGGUUAAGGUGCCAAACUUCCCGCUCAUGAGACCCCAUGAAAGGCGUUGGUUGAUAUAGACAGCAGGACGGUGGCCAUGGAAGUCGGAAUCCGCUAAGGAGUGUGUAACAACUCACCUGCCGAAUCAACUAGCCCUGAAAAUGGAUGGCGCUUGAGCGGGAGACCUAUACCUAACCGUUGCUAGGCUUGAGUGAAUAUUAAACACUGUAAAAAGGUGUUAUAAUAUAUUGUCGCCUGGCCGCAACGAGUAAGAGGGUCGCAGUGGUUUGCGUAGAAGGUUUAAGGCGUAGGCCUAACUGGAGCUUCCACUGGUGCAGAUCUUGGUGGUAGUAGCAAAUAUUCAAGUGAGAUCCUUGAAGGCUGAAGUGGAGAAGGGUUCCACGUGAACAGCAGUUGAAUGUGGGUCAGUCGGCCCUAAGACAUAGGCUAAUGCCUUUUUAAAAUCAAGAGACGGAGCUUCCAAAUCCAUCUUGGUUGUCGAAAGGGAAACGGGUUAAUAUUCUCGUACCUGGACACGGAGAUAAAUGCUCAUUGCGAGUAUUUAGCGCGGUAACGCAAACGAACUCGAAGAACGCCUAAUAAAGCUCGAGCCAGAGUUCUCUUUUCUGGUUUAGGAACGGACUCCCUGGAAACGGUUCAGCCGGAGAUAGGGACGUUGUUUCCGUAAAGCGCCACGGUUCCUGUGGCGUCUCGUGCGCUUUUGAUUAGGCCCUUGAAAAUUCGAGGGAGGCUAUUUGAAUUUCGUGCCAGAUCGUACCCAUAUCCGCAGCAGGUCUCCAAGGUGAACAGCCUCUAGCCGAUAGAAUAAUGUAGGUAAGGGAAGUCGGCAAAUUAGAUUCGUAACUUCGGGAAAAGAAUUGGCUCUAAGGACUAGGCCGGUCGGGCUAUAACGUGAAGUAAGUGCGGUUUGAUCCAUGCAGUGCGCAGGCUUGUGUAUAUUGCUUUUUUUUGAGGCGAUUUACAUGGGUGGCGUUCGGCUAGCGUUUGAACUGUCUUACGGACCGUUACAGCUGCGUAUCAUUACUCCUUGUUUGUGGGUAAUCUGAUACUUCGGUCGGCGCUAAAUAGUUAACUUAGAACUGGCACGGUCACGGGGAAUCCGACUGUCUAAUUAAAACAGAGGAGACAGAUGGCCUUUGGAAGGCGUUGACUGUCUCUGAUUUCUGCCCAGUGCUCUGAAUGUAAAAGUGAAGAAAUUCAACCAAGCGCGGGUAAACGGCGGGAGUAACUAUGACUCUCUUAAGGUAACCAAAUGCCUCGUCAUCUAAUUAGUGACGCGCAUGAAUGGAUUAACGAGAUUCCCACUGUCCCUAUCUACUAUCUAGCGAAACCACAGCCAAGGGAACGGGCUUGGCAAACACAGCGGGGAAAGAAGACCCUGUUGAGCUUGACUCUAGUCCGACUCUGUGAAGAGUCAUGAGAGGUGUAGCAUAAGUGGGAGGCGCUUCGUGCGUCGACAGUGAAAUACCACUACUUUUAUCGAUUCUUUACUUAUUCGGUAAGACGAGAAUUGAGCCAUUUACGGCUCUUGAUUCUGGUGUUAAAUACAGCCACUCGGUGGCAGUAUGACUCGCGCCGAAGACAUUGUCAGGCGGGGAGUUUGACUGGGGCGGUACAUCUGUCAAAUAAUAACGCAGGUGUCCUAAGGCUAGCUCAGAAAGGACGGAAACCUUUCGUAGAGCAAAAGGGCAAAUGCUCGCUUGAUCUUGAUUUCCAGUACGAAUACAGACCGCGAAAGCGUGGCCUAUCGAUCCUUUUGAAUUAGAAGGUCUCUAGCAAGAGGUGUCAGAAAAGUUACCACAGGGAUAACUGGCUUGUGGCAGCCAAGCGUCCAUAGCGACGUUGCUUUUUGAUCCUUCGAUGUCGGCUCUUCCUAUCAUUGCGAAGA
rnacentral:rRNA from 1 species